AUGGGAGCCCAGCUGCAGGACAGCGAUCGGGAGGCUGGCUCGCAGACAGCGGCCCACCCUCCAAAGCCAGCAGUUAGCCUGGCACAUACAGGUGACAGUCCCGAGGCCAGCAUUGACCACUGUUCUGUCCCCACAGCCUCCAUCCACGGCCCAUCUGUCUACCCCUUGCGUUCCUGUUGCAAAAGUGCUACCAAUGCCACCUCUGUGACGCUGGGCUGCCUGGCCACGGGCUACUUCCCGGGCCCAGUGACCAUGACCUGGGACACAGCAUCCCUGAACAGGAGCACGCUGACCUUCCCUGCCAUCCAAAACUUGAACUCCAGCCUCUACACCACCAGCAGCCAGGUGACACUCUCGGGCGAGUGGUCCAAGCAGAAGCUCACCUGCAGCGUGGCCCACGUUGCGUCCAACACCACCACCACCAAGGCCGUCACUGGGUGCACCAAGAGCUUCACCGACCCCACCGUGAAGCUCUUUUACUCCUCCUGCGACCCCCGUGGCGACACCCAUACCACCAUCCAGCUCCUGUGCCUCAUCUCCGGCUACACCCCAGGCAAAAUCAAGGUCACCUGGUUGGUGGACGGGCGUGAGGCCACAGACGUGUUCCCACACACCGGCCCCGAAAAGGUGGAGGGCAAACUGGCCUCCACCUACAGCGAGCUCAACAUCACGCAGGGCCAGUGGGUGUCCCAACUCACCUACACCUGCCGGGUCACCUAUUAUGGCUUCAACUAUGACAACCACGCCCGCAGGUGCACAGCCGAGUCCGAGCCCCGUGGCGUGAGCGCCUACCUGAGCCCACCCACGCCCCUCGACCUGUACAUCAACAAGUCACCCAAGAUCACCUGCCUGGUGGUGGACCUGGCCAGCAAAAAGGACGUUGUACUGACCUGGUCCAGGGAGAACAAAGAUCUAGUGCCUUCAGACUCGCUCGUCUUCAAGGAUGAGUUCAACGGGACGGUCACCGUCACGUCCACCCUGCUGGUGAACGUCAGUGACUGGCUCAAGGGCGACACCUACUACUGCAAAGUGACCCACCCACACCUACCCAAGGAGAUCCUGCGCUCCAUCUCCAAGGGCCCUGGCAGGCGCAUGGUUCCCGAGGUCUACGUGUUCCCGCCACCCAAGGAAGAGCUCAAGACCAAGAGCGAGGUCACCCUCACCUGCCUGAUCCAGAACUUCUUCCCUGCGGACAUCUCCGUGCAGUGGCUGCGGAACGACGCCCUGAUGCAGGCGGACCAGCACACCAUCACGAGGCCCCACAAGGUCCGCAGCCCCACCCCCGACUUCUCUGCCUACUUCAUCUACAGCCACCUGGUGGUCAGGCGGGCCGACUGGGAGCAGAAGAGCAAAUUCACCUGCCAAGUGGCGCACGAGGCGCUGCCCGGCUCAAGGACGCUCAAGAGAUCGACAUCCAUCAACCUUGAGCUGGCCCUGGAGGACCUGUGCACAGAGGAGGCCGAGAGUGACGAGCUGGAGGGGACGCAGACCGGCCUCCUAACCUUCGUGGCGCUCUUCCUGCUUAGCGUGAGCUAUGGCGCUGCCGUCACCCUCUGCAAGGUGAAGUGGGUCCUGGCUGCUGUCCUGCAGAAGCAGCCGCAGGCUUCCGGCGACUACAGGAACGCCGCACAGCCCUGCCUUUUCCCUCGUGCACUGCCCCAGCACUCACCCCGAGUCCCACGCCUCCAGCUCCCUCGGGGCGGCUCCAGGGGACACCGGGGCUUCAGACCCCAGGAAGGGGCAGGGCCCCGGGACCUCACGGGCUGGCAAGAGGAGGGAUCCUCAGGGCCAAUCAACCACGAUGCAGGAGCCGCUGGUGCUCGUGAGAGCGGUGGGCGUGGGGUGGCCCGGAGUCCAGCAGCCCAGGAGGAAGUGCCCCUCGUGGCCGAUGCUCGCCUCUGGGCAGGUGGGCACAGGGACCAGCAGGGCAUGGCCACACGGCCAAAAGGCGUGGGCCUCUCCCAGCUGUGUUGGACCCGCCGGCAGCCUUGA